rnacentral:rRNA from 1 species
UACGUAGGGAGCAAGCGUUGUCCGGAUUUAUUGGGCGUAAAGAGCUCGUAGGCGGUUUAGAAAGUCGGGUGUGAAACCUCCAGGCUCAACCUGGAGACGCCACUCGAUACUUCUAUGACUUGAGUUCGGUAGGGGAUCACGGAAUUCCUGGUGUAGCGGUGAAAUGCGCAGAUAUCAGGAGGAACACCGACGGCGAAGGCAGUGAUCUGGGCCGAUACUGACGCUGAGGAGCGAAAGCGUGGGGAGCGAACAGG